rnacentral:misc_RNA from 1 species
UUUCCGUAGGUGAACCUGCGGAAGGAUCAUUACUGAGUGAGGCCCCCUCGGGGUCCAACCUCCCACCCGUGUUUAACGAACCUUGUUGCUUCGGCGGGCCCGCCUCACGGCCGCCGGGGGGCAUCUGCCCCCGGGCCCGCGCCCGCCGAAGCCACCUGUGAACGCUGUCUGAAGUAUGCAGUCUGAGACAAUUAUUAAAUUAAUUAAAACUUUCAACAACGGAUCUCUUGGUUCCG